rnacentral:lncRNA from 13 species
AUGGAGAAGGCUUUGAGGAGAUCUGGGUGGAGCACUAUUUUACUCGAUGCUGCUAUACACCGUGAGAAGACUCAUGACAUGACUAACUUACUGUCAACAGUAAAUAUAUGUGGAGAGAAAGAUGGUAAACAAGGCUUAGAAAGAAACCACUCGAGGCUAAAUACCAUUGUCAAACAAAACCAUUUCUUAUCCUCAGGUCUGUUUGCUUGCAAAGUUUCGGGAGAUAAGAAAAAGGCACCAACAAUAUCUGCUACUAUGUGGAACUCAAACUCGCUCUUAAGUCUAGUUUGCUCUUAUUGCCGGCUGGAGUGCAACGGCACGAUCUUGCUUCACCACAACUUCCGCCCCCCUGGUUCAAGCGAUUCUCCUGCCUCAGCUUCCCGAGUAGCUGGGAUUACAGGUGAGACUGAUUUCCUAAAUGGAGGUCUUGAUGCACUGCCCAAGAGCCAACAGUGGAAAUUGCAAGGCUUCUUAAGGCCCAUGCUUGUAAGUUGCAUUACAUCACUGUUAGCAAAUUUCAAGUCAAGAGCAAGUCUGAAGAGCAGCCCAGAUUCAAGAGCUGAGAAAAUAGACGUCAUGUCUUGA